GUUUAAUUCGAUGGUAAGCGAAGAACCUUACCCAGGCUUGACAUCCUUGGAAUCUUUCCGAAAGGAGAGAGUGCAAUUUGAACCAAGUGACAGGUGAUGCAUGGCCGUCGUCAGCUCGUGUCGUGAGAUGUUUGGUUAAGUCCAUCAACGAGCGCAACCCUUGUGAGUAGUUGAAUUUUUCUACUCAGACUGCCCUGGUAACAGGGAGGAAGGGGGGGAUGAUGUCAGGUCA
rnacentral:rRNA from 1 species